CUUGCAAUGAUGAUUGGCGCAGGGGUACGUACCUCAGCCAGUGAUGGGGGCUGAGUGUUGGUGUUUCCCGUACAGGCGGGCAUGUGCCCUGCUGGACAGGAGCACUGACACGAGACAGACGCCAUAGUCUGAGCCUU
ensembl:snoRNA small nucleolar RNA SNORD94